AUUCUCCUGUUGUUUAUCAUGAAUGCAGUGCUGAGGACACCAUAAAGCCAGCAAGCUGUUCCCGUCAUCUGCAUCCAUAUUUUAAGACACUCCACUUUAUAAUACAGGGAUUCAACCAAUCAAUUAGCAAAUCACUCUGCACUGUGUUUAAGGCAGCUUGGGAAGAGAAGAAAAUUUUGGUGGAGUUACAGCACCCAGUUCCUCCACCUCCUCAUGUGU
rnacentral:lncRNA from 1 species